AUUGAACGCUGGCGGCAUGCUUUACACAUGCAAGUCGAACGGUAACAGGCCGCAAGGUGCUGACGAGUGGCGAACGGGUGAGUAAUGCAUCGGAACGUGCCCAGUCGUGGGGGAUAACGCAGCGAAAGCUGUGCUAAUACCGCAUACGAUCUAUGGAUGAAAGCGGGGGACCGUAAGGCCUCGCGCGAUUGGAGCGGCCGAUGUCAGAUUAGGUAGUUGGUGGGGUAAAGGGCCACCAAGCCAACGAUCUGUAGCUGGUCUGAGGGGACGACCAGCCACACUGGGACUGAGACACGGCCCAGACUCCUACGGGAGGCAGCAGUGGGGAAUUUUGGACAAUGGGCGCAAGCCUGAUCCAGCAAUGCCGCGUGCAGGAAGAAGGCCUUCGGGUUGUAAACUGCUUUUGUACGGAACGAAACGGUCUGGGUUAAUACCCUGGGCUAAUGACGGUACCGUAAGAAUAAGCACCGGCUAACUACGUGCCAGCAGCCGCCGUAAAAC
rnacentral:rRNA from 1 species